AGAUUCCCCCAGUAGCGGCGAGCGAACGGGGAGGAGCCCAGAGCCUGAAUCAGUGUGUGUGUUAGUGGAAGCGUCUGGAAAGGCGCGCGAUACAGGGUGACAGCCCCGUACACAAAAAUGCACAUAUUGUGAGCUCGAUGAGUAGGGCGGGACACGUGGUAUCCUGUCUGAAUAUGGGGGGACCAUCCUCCAAGGCUAAAUACUCCUGACUGACCGAUAGUGAACCAGUACCGUGAGGGAAAGGCGAAAAGAACCCCGGCGAGGGGAGUGAAAAAGAACCUGAAACCGUGUACGUACAAGCAGUGGGAGCCUCUUAAUGGGGUGACUGCGUACCUUUUGUAUAAUGGGUCAGCGACUUAUAUUCUGUAGCAAGGUUAACCGAAUAGGGGAGCCGAAGGGAAACCGAGUCUUAACUGGGCGUUAAGUUGCAGGGUAUAGACCCGAAACCCGGUGAUCUAGCCAUGGGCAGGUUGAAGGUUGGGUAACACUAACUGGAGGACCGAACCGACUAAUGUUGAAAAAUUAGCGGAUGACUUGUGGCUGGGGGUGAAAGGCCAAUCAAACCGGGAGAUAGCUGGUUCUCCCCGAAAGCUAUUUAGGUAGCGCCUCGUGAAUUCAUCUCCGGGGGUAGAGCACUGUUUCGGCAAGGGGGUCAUCCCGACUUACCAACCCGAUGCAAACUGCGAAUACCGGAGAAUGUUAUCACGGGAGACACACGGCGGGUGCUAACGUCCGUCGUGAAGAGGGAAACAACCCAGACCGCCAGCUAAGGUCCCAAAGUCAUGGUUAAGUGGGAAACGAUGUGGGAAGGCCCAGACAGCCAGGAUGUUGGCUUAGAAGCAGCCAUCAUUUAAAGAAAGCGUAAUAGCUCACUGGUCGAGUCGGCCUGCGCGGAAGAUGUAACGGGGCUAAACCAUGCACCGAAGCUGCGGCAGCGACGCUUAUGCGUUGUUGGGUA
rnacentral:rRNA from 1 species